CCCUUAGAUGUUCUGGGCUGCACGCGCGCUACACUGAUGCGCUCAACGAGUUUUAACCUUGCCUGGAAAGGUUGGGUAAUCUUUUUAAAACGCAUCGUGAUGGGGAUAGAUUAUUGCAAUUAUUAAUCUUGAACGAGGAAUUCCUAGUAAACGCAGAUCAUCAAUCUGCAUUGAUUACGUCCCUGCCCUUUGUACACACCGCCCGUCGCACCUACCGAUUGGAUGGUCCGGUGAAGCCUCGGGAUUGUGGUUCUUGCCGCUUUAUUGUGGCGUGACCGCGAGAACUUGUCUAAACCUUAUCAUCUAGAGGAAGGUGAAGUCGUAACA
rnacentral:rRNA from 1 species